GCCUUCAUGGUACAACGGUAGCACACUAGGCGUAUUCGAGAGAUCCAGGUUCGAGUCCCGGCGAGGGCA
rnacentral:tRNA from 1 species